UUUAAGCGUAGUCAUGAGUUUUUUUCUAACUUUAAUUAUCCGUAUUAUUUAAAAUUAUUUUAUGGUUAGUAUUUUUAUUGUUAUUAUAUGAGAAAGCAUAAAUAGUACUUUGUGCCUGAUUUAUGUUUUUUUAAAUUUGUUUAAAUAAAACGAACUAUUAAAGUUAGAUAUGAAAACUCAUGUGUGCGCUUAAA
rfam:Oryza glaberrima chromosome 2 Oglab02_0172_2, whole genome shotgun sequence.